CCUUAUCUUCCCAGGGACCUAAGGACACCGGCGGGGCAGAUGUCAGCUGUGGAUUUAGUUCAGACCUAUUAACUCAUCCUGCCAGAGAGUGGUCUGCUAAUGGGAUUCCUUGGCAUCUCUUCCUUCCAUGGAAUCCCAUCUAGAAGUCAUUUCUGGUGCUUGCAUCCUCUGAGCUGUUCUGAGCCAAUCGCCAGCCCAAAGGAGACGGAGAGGCGUGAUACCGCAGGAUGUCUCCGUUGGACCCGGCUCCCCGGUGCGCUAAUUCUGAAGAUGACAAACAGGAACCAAAUAAAAAUGUUGAAAAAUGGGCACUUUGAAGCCACCCUGUGCAGAGUAGCUAUUGCGGGGUUUGGAAAUAACAAGGGAGCCAGGAAAAGGGAAAGGAGGUGUUUUCUCACUGAGAAGUGGUGCCCAGAAAAGGCCACUACUGUAGGAAUGGGGGAGAAAGAAGAGGAGAGACAGAGGAUGGUCGGGGGGAAGAGCACAGAAAAAGAGAUGGAGGAAGGAGGAAGAUGAAGAGCGAAGGUACCAAGAGGAAAAAGAUGGAGCUAAAGGUCGGAGGGCGAAAGAAAGGAGGAAACGAAGGUCACAGGGAGGCUGUGGAGAGUGACGGGAAGACAAGAGGACGUUGUCAAAGCCGACAAAAAAAGGCCAAUUUGGUGUGUCAGCGUGGGGAGCGGGGAACGGACUGAGCUGAGCUCUCGCUCGCAGAGCUCCAUGCCCCCUCCCCGCCCGUCCGAGCCCCCCCUUCCAUCUUCCCAACCCCCCCCACCCAAAAGAGAACGAAGGAAAACAAAAUAUCUACAGUUGUCGAGACAAGGGGAGAAAAAUAGAGGCAAACAUCCGUAAUUUUCUCUGUGGGGCUUUGCGGUAAUUGAGCCAUUUGGAUAAAAAUAAAGGCAGCGGGCCCCUUAGGUAAGAGGAGCUUUUGCAAUCUAAGAAGCUUGAAUUAUGCGUCUUGUGUCACUUUAAAUCCCCCAUUCUCCCCCUUCCCCAUGCUAUGCCAAACCACUUUCCCUUUUCUUAUUAUUUUUUUUAAGUACCCUGUCAAAUGUCGUCCGCAGAGCAGAGAAUUUCAGCUGUCACAACUAAUUUCAAUUUUUUCCAUGGGUUUUUUUUUCCCCCCGUUGGUGUAAGGGGUGGGGGUGGAGGGGGCAGAGAGG
rnacentral:lncRNA from 1 species